rnacentral:rRNA from 1 species
UACGAAGGGGGGCUAGCGUUGCUCGGAAUCACUGGGCGUAAAGCGCACGUAGGCGGCUUUGUAAGUUAGAGGUGAAAGCCCGGGGCUCAACUCCGGAAUUGCCUUUAAGACUGCAUCGCUAGAAUUGUGGAGAGGUAAGUGGAAUUCCGAGUGUAGAGGUGAAAAUUCGUAGAUAUUCGGAAGAACACCAGUGGCGAAGGCGACUUACUGGACACAUAUUGACGCUGAGGUGCGAAAGCGUGGGGAGCAAACAGG